rnacentral:rRNA from 1 species
GAUGAACGCUGGCGGCGUGCCUAAUACGUGCAAGUCGAGCGAAUGGAUUAAGAGCUUGCUCUUAUGAAGUUAGCGGCGGACGGGUGAGUAACACGUGGGUAACCUGCCCAUAAGACUGGGAUAACUACGGGAAACCGGGGCUAAUACCGGAUAACAUUUUGAACCGCAUGGUUCGAAAUUGAAAGGCGGCUUCGGCUGUCAAUUAUGGAUGGACCCGCGUCGCAUUAGCUAGUUGGUGAGGUAACGGCUCACCAAGGCAACGAUGCGUAGCCGACCUGAGAGGGUGAUCGGCCACACUGGGACUGAGACACGGCCCAGACUCCUACGGGAGGCAGCAGUAGGGAAUCUUCCGCAAUGGACGAAAGUCUGACGGAGCAACGCCGCGUGAGGGAUGAAGGCUUUCGGGUCGUAAAACUCUGUUGUUAGGGAAGAACAAGUGCUAGUUGAAUAAGCUGGCACCUUGACGGUACCUAACCAGUAAGCCACGGCUAACUACGUGCCAGCCGCCGCCGUAA